rnacentral:rRNA from 1 species
CACGUAGGGUGCGAGCGUUGUCCGGAAUUAUUGGGCGUAAAGGGCUCGUAGGCGGUUUGUCGCGUCGGGAGUGAAAUCCACUGGCUUAACUGGUGGCUUGCUUUCGAUACGGGCAGACUGGAGGUAUGCAGGGGAGAACGGAAUUCCUGGUGUAGCGGUGAAAUGCGUAGAGAUGUGGAGGAACACCAAUGGCGAAGGCAGCCUUCUGGGCCAACACUGACGCUCAUGCACGAAAGCGUGGGGAGCAAACAGG